rnacentral:rRNA from 1 species
AUUGAACGCUGGCGGCAUGCCUUACACAUGCAAGUCGAACGGCAGCACGGGAGCAAUCCUGGUGGCGAGUGGCGAAACGGGUGAGUAAAGUAUCGGAACGUACCUUUCAGUGGGGGGAUAACGUAGCGAAAGUUACGCUAAUACCGCAUAUUCUGUGAGCAGGAAAGCAGGGGGAUCGCAAGACCUUGCGCUGAUGGAGCGGCCGAUAUCAGAUUAGCUAGUUGGUGAGGUAAAGGCCCACCAAGGCGACGAUCUGUAGCUGGU